rnacentral:rRNA from 1 species
GCAUAUCAAAUAAGCGGAGGAAAAGAAACCAACAGGGAUUGCCUUAGUAGCGGCGAGUGAAGCGGCAAUAGCUCAAAUUUGAAAUCUGGCACCUUCGGUGUCCGAGUUGUAAUUUGAAGAAGGUAUCUUUGGUUUUGGCUCUUGUCUAUGUUCCUUGGAACAGGACGUCACAGAGGGUGAGAAUCCCGUGCGAUGAGAUGCCCAAUUCCAUGUAAAGUUCCUUCGACGAGUCGAGUUGUUUGGGAAUGCAGCUCUAAGUGGGUGGUAAAUUCCAUCUAAAGCUAAAUAUUGGCGAGAGACCGAUAGCGAACAAGUACUGUGAAGGAAAGAUGAAAAGAACUUUGAAAAGAGAGUGAAAAAGUACGUGAAAUUGUUGAAAGGGAAGGGCUUGAGAUCAGACUUGGAAUUUUCCAUUACAUGGAGCUUUCCGGGCCAGCAUCAGUUUGGAUGGCAGGAUAAUUGCGAUGGAAAGUAGCUCUGCUUCGGUGGAGUAUUAUAGCCUUCGUCGAUACUGCCUGUCUAGACUGAGGACUGCGUCUUUGACUAGGAUGCUGGCAUAAUGAUCUUAAGCCGCCCGUCUU